GACCCCGAUCUGAUCGGCCUCGGC
rnacentral:siRNA from 1 species